UCAGACGAUGCGUCAUGCAUAUCAAUAAGCGGAGGAAAAGAAACUAACUAGGAUUCCCUCAGUAACGGCGAGUGAAGCGGGAAGAGCUCAAAUUUGAAAUCUUCAAGGUUCUACCUUGACGAAUUGUAGUUUAAAGAAGUGUUUUCUGUUGGAGUUUUGGUAAAAGUUCUUUGGAAUAGGACAUCAUAGAGGGUGAGAAUCCCGUAUUUGACCAUUAUUUCCAGCUUUGUGAUACACUUUCCAAAGAGUCGGAUUGUUUGGGAGUGCAGUCCAAAAUGGGUGGUAAAUUUCAUCUAAAGCUAAAUAUUGGCGAGAGACCGAUAGCGAACAAGUACCGUGAGGGAAAGAUGAAAAGAACUUUGAAAAGAGAGUUAAACAGUACGUGAAAUUGUCAAAAGGGAAGCGUUUGACACCAGUGUUGUUUUCUCGAAAAUCAAUUAAAAAAGGCAGGAUUUUGUGUUGUAUUGACUUUAUCAGCUUUCUGCACUCUUUUCUUGUCUUUUUUUAAUGCACUUUUCGUUUAACAAGUCAACAUCAAUUUCUUUUGUUGUAAAAGGGUCAUUGGAAGGUGGCUUUCUUUUCGGAGAAAGUGUUUAUAGCCUUUGGCCUCUGCAAUCGGAGAGAUUGAGGUCUGCAGCGUAGAUCCUUCGGGGUUAGAUACAUUUGUGCUAAGUUAUAGCCUUUCAUAGACAACUUGUUGACUAUGAUCAGUCAUGUAGCUUACUCGCUUAUGCUAUUUUACCUACGCUUAGGAUGUUGAUCUACAGAGCGAGAGU
rnacentral:rRNA from 1 species